CACCCAGAAUGAUCUUUUUAAAGUCAAAGAGAAGCAGAAAGCACAUUGUUUUAGAUACCAAGUUGAUACUUCUCAUUCUCAGCAAAAUCUAGCUUUGAAUGUGUAUUUCUGAAAAGGUCACGAGGGAUGAUGAAAUGCGUAUGGGCUGUGACAUACAGUUCCUGAGGCAGAAAUGGAACUUUCCAGCAUUUCCUCUCAUCUCAUCCUCCACCCCGGGGGCAAGGCCUUGACUACUGCCCCCCAUACCCAACCUUGGGAGCUUCCUGUCCAGGGCCGGGCUGUCCCACAUCUGGUGGCCAGUAUUUUCAAAAAUUAUCCUUUCUUCACGGACUAGGACUUUCAGCAAUACCGCUAGCAAGAACCAAGGUGCUCCUUUUAAAUGUUUUGUUAUUCUUUUUGCUCACUAUUUGAUCAAGAUACUAGAGAACAGGGCAGCUGGCCGGCUUAGUUGGACGAGUGUGCGACUCUUGAUCUUGGGGUCCUGAAUUUGAACCCCACAUGAGGUGUAGAAAUGACUUAAAUUAAAAAAAAUUUUUAAAAAGAAAAGAGAAAGGAACUAAAAAUCAAUUUAAAUGGCCAAAGAGUGUUUGUAAGUUAAGUAUUAACAAUUGCAUCACUCUCUAUAUAAAGAGAAAAGAGUUCUAUCAAAUGGAAGUUUCAGAGCAAGAGAUCGAGAGUGGACCCAGAAGAGGGGGUUUCAUUUUGGGGUGUGUGUGUGUGUGUGUGUGUGUGUGUCUGUGUGUGCUUUAAAUACAGUCUGUAGAAGGAGGAAGAAGACCAGUGUCUGGUCAAAUUCUGCAGACCAGAAAGUUGAUUUUGUGCUCUGUGUUUGUCGUAUUGGCAGACUUCUGGAUUGGCAGUGGAGUAGUUUCUGUGUGCGUGGAUGAGAUUACAGAAGCAUUCAAUGUGUUCCAAAGUUCAGGGCUUGUUAGUUCAUUACACUGUUUUUAGAAACCUUUUAUUUUACAAGGCAGUAUUUCAAAUUUUGGUUUUGGCAACUAAGAAGCUUUGAAGUUGGGGUAAUGCUACGUUCUGACCACUGAGGGAAAGGGUGAAGUUAGGUAAGCUAUUACUAAAUCUUAGCAUGAGAACAUUUGAAGGUGGAAGAAAACUGUAAUUUGGUUAGAGGCUGGACAUUUAGGGCAGAAGGGGGCGUGGAUUUUUUUUUUUUAAUUGAUUUCAGUUGUUUUACAUUAUGAUUUUGAAAGAGGCUCAGACUAGUUAGGGAUCUCUCUAAUGGCUAAGCAGGGGCCUAGCCCAAUAGCCUUUGUACAAAGUUUUCACCCCUCACAGAGACACGCAGCAGGACCUUAUGAAUGACCCCAUCUCCAGGGUGGAGUGCCCCCGGAGAAGACCGCAUGGACAACUUCUCGAAUCACUCUCUGGGGUCUGGGAAAGGGAGGGAGCCGCCCUGCUUCCAUCCUCCAGGCCCCCCGAGAGCAUUUGGUGGGGAUGCAUGGGGGACAGCUGGAGGCCCUCCGAUCCAGGCCACCUGUGGAAGGGCCCCUGGGACCCCUGCCGUCAGCGGUCCCUGCUCCAUGUUGCCUCCAGAGCCCCAAGUCUGAACUGCCCCGCAGGGUAGUUCCUCCCCCCGAAGGAAGGAAGCCCAUGGAGUUCCCCGAGCUGUUCCAUGUUUGUUAGUGAAAGCCGUGCUGGGAGGGGUCCCUAGCCGUCCUGUGGGACAACCCCAAUAUCUCACAGCUGCUCUAUUCUAGGGCCUCUGAUUCUGACUUCCAGUUCAGCAUCUUUCCAUGGCAUGCUUAUGGAGCUCUGAAAGGGAGGAUGGUGGUUCAGGGAUGUGACCAGAGGUCCACGGAGGGCCUUCCACAUGGGCUCGGAUUGGGUGAUGGAGCAAGUUAGGCGUUGGCAUCCGAUUCCAUCCUCGCCUGGCCUGGCACCCAGUCUGCUCUUGGUAUACUGAUUAUACCACCUUACUGAUGAAGCCUGAGCUAGGAUGCUGGCCCACCCCCCACCAACAGGGCGAAUUUUGGCAAUUUGUACAAACUAUUCGUUUCUUCACUUCCUCUUUCAUGUAAGAAAGUCAUGGCACCUACGUUGUAAGGUCAUUGUGAGAAAUCAGUGAGUGUGUGAAAAGUGUUUGUAGCAUUUCAUGGUGUUUAGUAAGUGUUCAAUAAAUGCUAGCUCUUCUCAGGGAUUUGAUAGGACGUCCAGGAACAUGUGCUGUGCUAGAAUUUUAACAUAUUUAUACUGUAAAGCCUGAAUAAUGAGCCGUGGUUUCAGGGACCCACCUAGAAAGCGUCCAAGCCGUAUCUGCAAUUGUACAUGCCUAUGCUGUUGUCAAACAGCUUUAUUGAGAUAUAGUUCAUGUACCCAUACGUGCUUCUAUUUUGAGAGUGGGAAAUAUUCUAAAUCUGGAAUUCUGGCCAAGACUGAAAUAAUAUGACCAUUACUGGACAUGCAAAUCUAUAAAUAGGAUUUCUUUUAUGUAUUAUUUCCCACAGCUAGAACUGUGUCUGGUUAUCUUGACAAAGAAUUGCAUUUUCAAAAGCAAUAUGAAUUACAUAGCUCAAAUUAAACAUUUUGUAAUAAUUCUGUUACCUUGACCUAAGUCUCUUCUUGGCAGAUCAUGAAUUCUGAACGUAUACAGCGCGAUGCGAUUAUACCCCCUUACUGAUGAGUGUCUACAAGGAACUAAGUAAGAUCGUGGGGAUGCAUCCAGCAUUUUUAUUAUCAAAUGUGGGUGUUUAUUUUCAUAAGCUGCUUUGGUUUCUAGCACUGGCUUGAACUGAGCAGGCGAGAACAGAAGCAAUUCUGUGGCCCUGUUUACUGAAUCAACAGAUGCGCCUUGUCUCUUCCAGACUUUGACAUUUCUACAUUUGACAUGGUAUUCUCUUUUGGUUAUGUGUCAUGGACUUAGAAAUAAUAUUUCCACAUCACGCACAUAGUAAGCUUUAUCUGGAAAAAUGCCAUUUCUCAUUCUUCCAUGCUGAUUUAUUUUGGGUUGACAGCCCUCAAGAUCUUCAAACAUUUGCUCUUUGGAAGAGAAGAACUAAAUGUCUCACAACUCGACACUCGCGGGUAUUGCCCUGGUGUAAAUGUCUGCACACAGCACCGCAGUCAACUGCAUUCUUCUCCCACCCCCAUCGUUGCUGCCUGUAUGCGGUAGAAUUUUCUAGAAGGGAUUCCUGAGUGCUCAGGCAUAGUCAAUGGAACGUGAAAUUCCUACUAAUUUCAUGGUUCUGAAAGUGAGUUGCUCACUCCCAGGUCACAUAAGUAUGUCAGCUUUUCAUCUCUUAAGAAAUUCAAAAAAUGCUCUAGAAACCUGAGAACCAUGACCAAUUACCUCUUUUUAAGUUUUGCCUAAAAAAUAACAUAUCAAUAAGAUCACUGCAAUACCUCACUGCACCUCAUACGGAGUUUCUUAUACAUGAAUGACAUUAUUAACAUUUAAAAAAACUCGACAAUAUUUUAAAUCUUUCUUUAACUUUGUUUCCAAAAGGUUUAAUUUUUCUUGUCCUGCUAUUUUUACUAGAAGCCUCUAAUUAUUGGAAAUGCUUGAGGCAUGGGAUUUUUUAUUAACUAUUAACCAGUUUAAUUAGAACUGAGACUGUCCCAAACCGUCAAACAUAUUUCAAAUGUUGCUUGAAUGGAUAACGACUAUUAUUAUUAUAAACAAUACGGUAGAAAACUGACGGUAAACGAUAUUUCCCAUAAUUGGGUUUCUGAAAUGAGAGUAAGUCAGAGUAAUACCUGUUUCACAUCAGAAAGUUAAUAGACCGUGAUGAAUCUUGGAUGUUCUAGAGUGCGAUGGGCGCUAUCUGGUGGGUCUCCUUACACCCAUGGGGACGGUAGGUGUUAAUUAUCUCAGUUAUUCUGAUUAAAAGACUCGGGUUCUCAGAAGGCUCCCGAGGAAGGACCAGGUCGCUCUGAUCACUGGGGCCUCAGCACGUGUCACAGCACCUGCAGUAAAGCUGGGCGCGCCUGUCAGCAGCCGUCAAGGGAAAGGUGUUUCUGCAUGGCUGACGUCAAGCGCGAGUACUCUAGAUUAAACUGCGAGGAAGACUGAGGUAUGUAUGUUCUGACCCCAGGAUGUUGUCUUAAAGAAACACACACUUCCCCAAGCCGCUUACUUGUCAUCUGGAUACUGGCCAGAUACGGACUCAACACUGAGUUUCUGUUACUUCCAGUGCCGAAGUGAAAUGUGGAGAACAUGAUCCCGUUUUGGUUUUGAUGUGAUAGGCAAGACUCGGAGCUGUUGCAGACAGACUUGGUGUGAAGACUCUUUGGCAUGUUAGCCUAGUCCAGGGUCUAAAGGAGCUGAUCACACCUUGGGGAGGUGACUCCCACCACCGGCUCCGGCUGAGACGGAUGUCUGCGUGUUGCUUGGUGAGAACCAUGUCACCUCCUCUUGCCUCCCACCCGCUGACUUGCCCCUGACCUCGGGCAUGGCUCCCCCUGGCCCUGGCAAUCCCGACUCCCGUCACAGAGCUCUGGGGUGACAUUGGAUUUCUGCUCAGACCCCAGCAGAUGGUCUGGGGGUGGUUAUCUCCAGGGACUUUCUGCGGUCGAGCUGAGGGGAGCCCGGCCCUGAGCACAGAGGCCGUGGGCUGAGACGCCAGAGAGCUGCUGCCGUUUCUGAGAAGGGAAGGGAGCCAGCUGCCUCGAGAGAACAGAGAGAAGCUACAGAGGGAAGAUUGCUGCAGGUGUCAAGGCCGCCUCUGCGCAUUCUUGAGGCCCAGCUGCAUCCGCGGCCGUCCUCACAUUUGGCUCCUGAAACCUCUUUUGGAUUCCAGGGGCAGUUAAUUUUUUUUUUUUUUUUUUUUUUACGUUUAAACUUGAUUUCUGACGUUGGAUGCUCAGUAAAAGGUCUGACCCACACGAGAUUAAUUUCUCAAGUACAAGGUCAGUUUAUUCCCGAGUAGCAACCUGACUUAGCUGAUAGUGAGUAGGGGGCCCGAGAAGGGAGGAGAGCAGCCGAGUUUCUAAGAUGCGUCCUCCGGGAGCCAUGCUCCUCACACCUGCAGGGCCCGGACCACGGAGCCGCACCUCCUGGUUCUCCUUCCUCUUGGAUCCGCGCAGCUCACUAUCUCCCCGCCCGGACACAUCUCCUAGUGUAAAAAAUCCUUCUUCAUGUAGACCAAGAACAUUUUAAAAACAACUUUUUUCAACUUCAGCUAUAUCGAGGUAAAAAUCGACAUAUAAAAUUCUGAGAUGUUUGAAGUGUGCAUUGUGGUGAUUUGAUGUACACACACAUUGCGAAAGGGGCCCCAUCUGGUUGGCCAUCCCACGUCUACCUUCUGUGUUUCUGCAGAGAACACUGAAGUCUCACCCUCUUAGCAAAUUCCAAUCAUGCAGUACCACGUUAUCAACUACAGUUGCCGCACUGUACGCGAGAUCGUCAGGCCUUCUCCAUCUUGUGGAGAUUCCACAGGUAAGUGACUCUCUACAGCAUUCAUCUCCCUCCGUCCGACUUAGUCCACUCAGCAGAAUGCGCUCAAUGUCCGCCCACGUUACUGCUGACAUAAGACAGGAAAAGAUGCCCAGCAUCACCCGCCAUCAGUGAAACGCACCUCAGAGCCACCGCGAGUCAUCCCCUCGCGCCUGUCACAGCGGCCAAACUCAAAAACACAAGAAGCCACCAGCGUCAGCGAGGAUGUGGAGAAAUGAGAAGGCUUGUGCCCCUUUGGUGGGAGCGUAAGUUGGUGCAGCUGCUGUGGAAAACAGUAUGGAGUUUCCUCAAAAAAUUAAAAAUUAGAAAUACAGUGUGAUCUAGCAAUCCCACUUCUGGUACAUACUCAAAGGAAAUGAAAUCAGGACGUGGAAGGAUCAUCCGGGCCCCGCCGCCCCCCCCCCCCGGCCCGCGCACCGUGGUCAAGACACGGAAGCAGCUAAUGCCCAUCAGCGGUGACCUGUCAACUUCGGGCUGAUUUCACCGCCUCUGCCCUUUCCUCUCAGAGGACAGUCUUCUCUGCCCCCUCCGGCCAGAUCCCCCUCCGGGUCAGGGCUGUGCUCCCCUGGCCUCUCCGCUGGAGGGACACGGACAGGUCACCACCCCUCGUCUUGUAGUGCCCGCAGGAAGGCACGUGGCCUUCUCUCUCUGUCUCCUCAGACCUUGACUUCGUUCCUGGGACCGGAGCCUUGCUGAACCCACAACAAACAGUGUAAACGAUCUCGGGCAGAUGCGGAGCUCUCCCAAGCACAGAGGGUUCACUAGAAUGAGGCGUCAAGUAUUAACCUGAUUGCAAGAAGUUGUUGUGGAAACAACACAACCCUUGAGCUGCUAGCACCUUGGGGUUCCUGGACCCCGUGUUACGGAAUUUACGACAGAGCUCAGGGGGUGCUUGGAGAUCGUCUGGCCUGUGUGAGUCACCGGAGGUCUGGGGGGAGGCUGGCCGCAGGUCCCUCUGCCAUCCCUGAUGGGGACACUCAGCUGGGGCCACGGCCUUCUGCUCCUGCCCAGACUUUGGGGCCACGCUGGCUGGAACUCGGGCCAGUGGAGGCAUCCGGCCCCCAGCCUGGACCUAGACUCUUCCCUGUAGGCCAGGCACAAGGGAGACGUAGGCUGCAGCCUGCAAACUGGGCAUUGAAAAGCCGACUGAGCAACAAUCCCAGUACCGCUCCCCCUUGGGUUCUCAGAUGACAGCAGGGCCCUCAAGCUCCUUCCUGAACCAACCGACCCUGCCACUCCCCACCCCUCAAGAAGGAAAGGGACAGACCAUAUCCAACACAAAAUAAACAUUUUGUUACAUAAUCUCACUCAA